rnacentral:rRNA from 1 species
AGGAGCUUGCUCUUCUUGGAAGAGUUGCGAACGGGUGAGUAACGCGUAGGUAACCUGCCUUGUAGCGGGGGAUAACUAUUGGAAACGAUAGCUAAUACCGCAUAACAAUGGGUGACCCAUGUCAUUCAUUUGAAAGGGGCAACUGCUCCACUACAAGAUGGACCUGCGUUGUAUUAGCUAGUAGGUGAGGUAACGGCUCACCUAGGCGACGAUACAUAGCCGACCUGAGAGGGUGAUCGGCCACACUGGGACUGAGACACGGCCCAGACUCCUACGGGAGGCAGCAGUAGGGAAUCUUCGGCAAUGGGGGCAACCCUGACCGAGCAACGCCGCGUGAGUGAAGAAGGUUUUCGGAUCGUAAAGCUCUGUUGUAAGUCAAGAACGAGUGUGAGAGUGGAAAGUUCACACUGUGACGGUAGCUUACCAGAAAGGGACGGCUAACUACGUGCCAGCAGCCGCGGUAAUACGUAGGUCCCGAGCGUUGUCCGGAUUUAUUGGGCGUAAAGCGAGCGCAGGCGGUUUGAUAAGUCUGAAGUUAAAGGCUGUGGCUCAACCAUAGUUCGCUUUGGAAACUGUCAAACUUGAGUGCAGAAGGGGAGAGUGGAAUUCCAUGUGUAGCGGUGAAAUGCGUAGAUAUAUGGAGGAACACCGGUGGCGAAAGCGGCUCUCU